UACGUAGGGGGCCAGCGUUGCUCGGAAUUACUGGGCGUAAAGGGUCCGUAGGCGGUGUAGCAAGUCGAUAGUGAAAUCUCUGGGCUUAACCCAGAGGCUGCUAACGAAACUGCUGUGCUAGAGUGUGAGAGAGGCGAGUGGAAUUACGGGUGUAGCGGUGAAAUGCGUAGAUAUCCGUAGGAACAUCCGAGGCGAAGGCGGCUCGCUGGAUCACAACUGACGCUGAUGCGCGAAAGCCAGGGGAGCGAACGGG
rnacentral:rRNA from 1 species